GGAGUUAGCCGGUGCUUCUUCUGUGAGUGAUGUCCUUCCUGCCGGUUAUUGACCCGCAGGCCUUCUUCCUCACUGAAAGUGCUUUACAACCCGAAGGCCUUCUUCACACACGCGGCAUGGCUGGAUCAGGGUUGCCCCCAUUGUCCAAUAUUCCCCACUGCUGCCUCCCGUAGGAGUCUGGGCCGUGUCUCAGUCCCAGUGUGGCUGAUCAUCCUCUCAGACCAGCUACGGAUCGUCGCCUUGGUGAGCCGUUACCUCACCAACCAGCUAAUCCGACAUAGGCUCAUCCGAUAGCGCGAGGCCCGAAGGUCCCCCGCUUUCCCCCGUAGGGCGUAUGCGGUAUUAGCCUGGGUUUCCCCAGGUUAUCCCCCACUACCGGGCAGAUUCCUAUGCAUUACUCACCCGUCCGCCGCUCGCCACCAGGGAGCAAGCUCCCCGUGCUGCCGCUCGACUUGCAUGUGUUAGGUCGUCGCCGCCACGCGUCUACUACUGAGACCACUAAUACAACUACUCGA
rnacentral:rRNA from 1 species